UACGUAGGGGGCAAGCGUUGUCCGGAAUCAUUGGGCGUAAAGCGCGUGUAGGCGGCCCGGUAAGUCCGCUGUGAAAGUCGGGGGCUCAACCCUCGGAUGCCGGUGGAUACUGUCGGGCUAGAGUGCGGGAGAGGCGAGUGGAAUUCCUGGUGUAGCGGUGAAAUGCGCAGAUAUCAGGAGGAACACCAAUUGCGAAGGCAGCUCGCUGGAACGUUACUGACGCUGAGACGCGAAAGCGUGGGGAGCAAGCAGG
rnacentral:rRNA from 1 species